rnacentral:rRNA from 1 species
AGCGAACGCUGGCGGCAUGCUUUACACAUGCAAGUCGAACGGUAACAGGGUGCUUGCACCGCUGACGAGUGGCGAACGGGUGAGUAAUACAUCGGAAUGUACCCAGUAAUGGGGGAUAACGCUUCGAAAGGAGUGCUAAUACCGCAUACGCCCUGAGGGGGAAAGUGGGGGACCGCAAGGCCUCACGUUAUUGGAGAAGCCGAUGGCUGAUUAGCUAGUUGGUGAGGUAAAGGCUCACCAAGGCGACGAUCAGUACCGGGUCUUAGAGGACGGUCCGCCACAAUGGAACUGAGACACGGGCCAGACUCCUACGGGAGGCAGCAGUGGGGAAUCUUGGACAAUGGGCGAAAGCCUGAUCCAGCAAUGCCGCGUGCGUGAAGAAGGCCUUCGGGUUGUAAAGCGCUUUUGUCUGGGAGCAAAUCCUGGCCUCUAAUACAGGUCGGGGAUGAGAGUACCAGAAGAAUAAGGACCGGCUAACUACGUGCCAGCCGCCGCCGUAAUAC